rnacentral:rRNA from 1 species
UACGAAGGGUGCUAGCGUUGCUCGGAAUUACUGGGCGUAAAGGGCGCGUAGGCGGACGUUUAAGUCGGGGGUGAAAGCCCGGGGCUCAACCUCGGAAUUGCCUUCGAUACUGGACGUCUUGAGUACGGGAGAGGUGAGUGGAACUCCGAGUGUAGAGGUGAAAUUCGUAGAUAUUCGGAAGAACACCAGUGGCGAAGGCGACUCACUGGCCCGUUACUGACGCUGAGGCGCGAAAGCGUGGGGAGCAAACAGG